CUGUAACUGGGCCAGUGGUGCAGUUUAAAUCCUGGUUCAACAUGUAAAUAGGAUUUCCACCAAACAUCUGGUGAAGUUGAAAUGAAACCCAGGUUACAAGGAUGGAAGUCACUCCUCUUUCCAGGACAGGUCUCUCCAGAGGAAAUACUUGAUCCCUACCUACCACUAAAUUACUGAAUGGAAAUGAUGUGCAAGGUUACAGAGAAAUGCACUGAGCCAUGAUGCUCACUUGGACCCCCAGUGCUGUAUCCUGGAUCUCCGUGCCAAGUAGUUUUGUCUUGACCACGUCCUGGACAAGUGGAUAUUAGUCAUCCCACCUCAGUGUUGGUUCCAUGGAGUUAUGUGCAGGUCAUCUUCA